rnacentral:tRNA from 1 species
UCCCUGGUGGCUUAGUUGGCAAAGAAUCUGCCUGCAACGCAGGAGACCCUGGUCCCAUCCCUGGAUUGGGAA